GAUGUUGGCUUAGAAGCAGCCAUGCAUUUAAAGAGUGCGUAACAGCUCACUGGUCAAGUGGACAUGCGCCGACAAUACACGGGGCUAAGCGUUGUACCGAAGCAGCGGACUGUUUUAUCAGUGGUAGGGGAGCUUUCCAUGCCGGGGCGAAGCCGACGGGCGACCGUCGGUGGACUGCAUGGAAGUGAGAAUGCUGGCAUGAGUAACGAGAGAGGGGCGAGAAACCCCUCCGCCGUAAGCCUAAGGGUUCCUGGGCAAGGCUAAUCCCCCCAGGGUCAGUCGGGAGCUAAGGCGAGGCCGACAGGCGUAGCCGAUGCACAACAGGCGGACAUUCCUGUACCACCGCGGAGCGUUACUACGACGGGGUGACGGAGAAGGGUAGCCGGGCGGGGUUCUGGACGUCCCCGUGAAAGCGCGUAGGCCGCAGGGCAGGCAAAUCCGCCCUGCAGCGAGGCCGAGACGUUAGACGAAGCUUCAUGUGAAGCCGGCGAGCCCAUGCUUCCGAGAAAAACCUCUAAGGAGCGAGGCGGUGCCCGUACCAAAACCGACACAGGUAGGCGGGUAGAGCAUACCAAGGCGAUCGGGAGAACCAUGGUUAAGGAACUCGGCAUACUGACUCCGUAACUUCGGGAGAAGGAGUGCCCCCGCCUGUGAGGUCCCACGCGGACGGAGCGGGAGGGGGUCGCAGCGAAACGGCCCAAGCGACUGUUUACCAAAAACACAGCUCUCUGCUAAGCCGCAAGGCGAAGUAUAGGGGGUGACGCCUGCCCGGUGCUGGAAGGUUAAGGGGAGGGGUUAACGCAAGUGAAGCCCUGAACUGAAGCCCCAGUAAACGGCGGCCGUAACUAUAACGGUCCUAAGGUAGCGAAAUUCCUUGUCAGGUAAGUUCUGACCCGCACGAAAGGCGUAACGAUUUGGGCGCUGUCUCAGCUGUAGACUCGGUGAAGUCUUAGUACCUGUGAAGAUGCAGGUUACCCGCGACUAGACGGAAAGACCCCAUGGAGCUUCACUGCAGGUUGAUAUUGGGAUUUGAUGCAGCAUGUACAGGAUAGGUAGGAGGCAAAGAGAUGGAUACGCCAGUAUUCAAGGAGCCGCUGUUGGGAUACUACCCCUGUUGUAUUGGAUUUCUAACCGGACGACGUAGAGCCGUUGACGGGACAGUGUCAGUCGGGCAGUUUGACUGGGGCGGUCGCCUCCCAAAGAGUAACGGAGGCGCCCAAAGAUACCCUCAGCUUGGAUGGAAACCAAGCGCAGAGUGCAAAGGCAAAAGGGUGUUUGACUGCGAGACCCACAAGUCGAGCAGGGACGAAAGUCGGGCUUAGUGAUCCGGCGGUGCUGAAUGGAAAGGCCGUCGCUCAACGGAUAAAAGCUACCCUGGGGAUAACAGGCUGAUCUCCCCCAA
rnacentral:rRNA from 1 species